CCAUCAUUCAGUUGGGCACUCUAGCAAGACUGCCGGUGACAAACCGGAGGAAGGUGGGGAUGACGUCAAAUCAUCAUGCCCCUUAUGACCUGGGCUACACACGUGCUACAAUGGGAAGUACAACGAGUUGCGAAGUCGCGAGGCUAAGCUAAUCUCUUAAAGCUUCUCUCAGUUCGGAUUGCAGGCUGCAACUCGCCUGCAUGAAGCCGGAAUCGCUAGUAAUCGCGGAUCAGCACGCCGCGGUGAAUACGUUCCCGGGCCUUGUACACACCGCCCGUCACACCACGAGAGUUUGUAACACCCGAAGUCGGUGAGGUAACCUUUU
rnacentral:rRNA from 1 species